rnacentral:rRNA from 2 species
GUCAGAUUGAGCCUGGCUCAGAAUAUCGUAACACGGUAACCACAUGUUAUUGGCGGACGGGUGAGUAACACGUGGGUAACCUGCCUGUAAGACUGGGAUAACUCCGGGAAACCGGAGCUAAUACCGGAUAGUUCCUUGAACCGCAUGGUUCAAGGAUGAAAGACGGUUUCGGCUGUCACUUACAGAUGGACCCGCGGCGCAUUAGCUAGUUGGUGAGGUAACGGCUCACCAAGGCGACGAUGCGUAGCCGACCUGAGAGGGUGAUCGGCCACACUGGGACUGAGACACGGCCCAGACUCCUACGGGAGGCAGCAGUAGGGAAUCUUCCGCAAUGGACGAAAGUCUGACGGAGCAACGCCGCGUGAGUGAUGAAGGUUUUCGGAUCGUAAAGCUCUGUUGUUAGGGAAGAACAAGUGCAAGAGUAACUGCUUGCACCUUGACGGUACCUAACCAGAAAGCCACGGCUAACUACGUGCCAGCAGCCGCGGUAAUACGUAGGUGGCAAGCGUUGUCCGGAAUUAUUGGGCGUAAAGGGCUCGCAGGCGGUUUCUUAAGUCUGAUGUGAAAGCCCCCGGCUCAACCGGGGAGGGUCAUUGUAAACUGGGGAAGCUUGUGUGCAAAAGAGGAGAGUGCACUUCCCAAUGUUACGGUGAAAUGGCUUAAAGUGUGGGAAGAACAGCUAUGUCAAACGCGCACCCCCUGGCUGGUAACUGACCCUGAGGACGGAACCCGAGGGAGCUAUUCUAUACGACUGCUGGGUC